rnacentral:rRNA from 1 species
GACGAACGCUGGCGGCGUGCUUAACACAUGCAAGUCGAACGGAAAGGCCCUGCUUUCGUGGGGUGCUCGAGUGGCGAACGGGUGAGUAACAUGUGGGUAACCUGCCCUUGACUUUGGGAUAACUUCAGGAAACUGGGGCUAAUACCGGAUAGGAGCUCCUGCUGCAUGGUGGGGGUCGGAAAGUUUCGGCGGUUGGGGAUGGACUCGCGGCUUAUCAGCUUGUUGGUGGGGUAGUGGCUUACCAAGGCAUUGACGGGUAGCCGGCCUGAGAGGGUGACCGGCCACAUUAGGACUGAGCUACGGCACAGCCUCCUACGGGAGGCAGCAGAGGGGAAGAUUGCACAAUGGGCGGAAGCCUAAUGCAGCAAAGCCGCGUGGGGGAUGACGGCCUGCGGGUUGGAAACCGCUUUCGCCUGUGACGAAGCGUGAGUGACGGUAAUGGGUAAAGAAGCACCGGCUAACUACGUG